UGAAAUCUCAGCACAAUAACUAUCUUUUCUUUUCAUUCUGAUUCUAAUGUAUCUUGUUGAUCCCCUUCUAUUUCUUGUAAGUUCUUCAGUUUGAUUCAUCUUUGGUAUUCACCUCAGAAGAAUACAGUUUAGGUGUAAUAGAAGCUUACAAUAUGCUUCUAUUUAGCAGUUGAUAUUGUCUUGAGGAAUACUUAUUAUUUGAUAUCAAAUUGAUGAGGAAUUUAUGAACUUCCCUUUUAUUUUUAAUCAAUUAUUGACUUUUUUAUUUCUCUUUUUUCCCCUCUAAUUUAUGAUCACAAGGAUGAGUGCUCACCAUUUCUAGAGAGAUAAGCAUCAAAGUCACACAGCAUUACAUUCCGAAGAUAUAAAUUACUGUCACUGUGAUGGCAUGUCUCCAAGAGCCAAGAGAAGCCCUGUCACACAGGAGCUUGGAAGAUGGCCUCCGAUGGUGCCAUGGCGGUCUCCAGCCCCGAGGGCGAAGGCAACAAGAAGGAGAAGGCUCCCAAGUCUCUGGCUUCGCCGAGGAGUAGCAGCGGCAUCGGCGGCGGUGGCGGUGGCCUCUGUCUGUGCUCGCCUACCACCCACCAAGGCUCCUUCCGCUGUCGGUUCCACCGCUCUCUCUCCACCUCGUGGAUGCGGCGCUCCAAGUCCAUGCCUUCUUCCACUUCCACCUCCAACUCCUCCUCCUCCUCCUCCCUUCCUCCUCCCCUCUUUCCCAAUCCCUUGGAGGCUACUCAGAACUAGGAUGGACCGCAGCUGCGUCAUCUCUCCAUUCUGUUGCUUUCAAUACCAGACUUUGAACUGUAGGUAACCUCAUCACUGUGGUAUGCAUGCAAGCUUCUUUCCUUGGUUGCGAGAGCUGAAGCCAUGUUUCAGUGGAUCAAGUUCUUAUUUGUAAGCUCUCUUUGCUGAUAUAUAUAUAGAGCGAGCGAGCGAGCGACAGAGAGAGAGAGAGAGAGAGAGAGAGAGAGAGUCUUAUAGUUGGAUUUUACUGUACAACGUUCUGCUGCAAGGAGAGAGACUAAUCCAGUUGAUGCUGGAGAUAUAGAUCAGCCAAUGGUAUCAUGCAUGAGCUCAGGAGACUGCCUGCACUGUCGAUGCUUUCCACUGCUGUAAUUUCCAUGGUUUAUGAUUCCCUCUUAUCAGUCCAGAAGUCGAUCAUCAAUCCUAAAUCAGGAGACAAAUUGCGAAUCUUGACACUUGUGAGGAGAGAUUACCAUAUCGAAAGUCCUCGAUCAUGUUGGAUCUCUGUGCUUCCGCUUCCUCCUGCAAGAAAAGAUUUAGAUUUGUUGUGGGUUGAUGAUUAAGUGACAGGGGAUUAAUUUUCCUACCAAAUUUCGCUCUUAAUGUUUCCAAAUUCCAUAUUCAAUUAGCUUCUUAGAAAUUAAAUUAUCCCAAUUUAAUUACGUGCUUGCAUUUGUUUUUGAUUAAUAAGUGUUCUAAUCCUACUUAAAUGGAUUAAGUAUUCAUUGGUAUCUGAAAAAUCCGAUCCGCUAUCGUCGUAUUCGUCACACAUGAUUGACCACCGCCCACGAUUCCCUGGACCUACCUUUUUGAUGAUUGGUCGACCAAGUGGAGCCCAUUGCGGAGCCACAGGUGGGUCGAGUUCGGAGGUUCCCCCCAAUUAAUCACAAAUGAGAGAACUCCAUUGCCGAUUCUGUAAAUUAGAUCAGACAGCUACCCUUGCGAUGAUUGGAAGACCAGGUGGAGCCCAUUUGGCUAGAUAACGUGGGUAAUUGGAGGCAAGAGAUAGGUAGUGUCGAGCAAGAUGGCGGAGAUCCGCCUGUUGGGCUCUAUGGGCAACAGGGCCUCCGCCGCCGCCCUCGUUCUGCGUCUCUCGUUGCCUUCUUUGUCUUUCUUGUGCUGGCUGGUCUCCUCUCCCUCCUUUCCGUUUGGAGUCGCCUGGUGAGCGCCUCCUCUACCUUUCUUGAUAUGUCUUGUGGUUCUUGAAUCGAGGAACUUCGAAGUCGCCUUACCUAUGCCGGCUGGCCUCGUCUCCCUCCCCUCGCUUUGGAAUCGCCUGGUGAGCUCCUAAUCUACCUUCAUCGAUACGUCUUGUCGUUCUUGAAUCGAGGAUCUUUGGAGUCACCUGGUGAGCACCUCCUCUACCUUUCUUGAUACGCCUUGUAGUUCUCGAGUCGAGAAUCUCUGCUGUCUGGCUGGCCUCCCCUCCCUUGGAGUAGGCUGGUAUAUGUCUUGUAGUUCUUGAAUCGAGGAUCCUGGAGUUGCCUGAUGAUCUCCUCCUUUUCUGCCUCGUCUGCUAUGCUUGAUCUGUCUCCUGGUUCUUGAAUUGGGUGUGUUUUCGAUCCUUUUCGAUGAUAAAGAAGUGAUCUUUGGUCUAACAAUGGCUAGUUGCGCACCAUUACCUUUAUCUUUGGAAUUCAGUUGCCAUUGUUUAGCAUUUUCGUUGCUGGAGUUCAUGGAAGGGACGAUCAUUGAGUUAUUUGCCAUUUCCAAUAUCUUGCAGGCCCACAUGUUGAUACAAAUUAACUUUAGGAAGAAAGAGAUGCUCACAUGUUGAACAUUAGGUUAGCACAGAGAGGAACCAGCAAGCAAUUAAGAAGAAAUAGACCAUGUCAAGAAGCAUGAGACGAGCUUCGCUGCCAGCCGUGGUGGCAAUUUCGCCAAGCUGGAUGAUAGGAGAUCAUUGAUUGCUGCAUGGGCCACCGAUUGAAGUCGAUAAAGCCCCCAAAUCCUUGGGGAGGAUGUUGUGAUAACCCACCAUAUGCGGACUGGCCUUCCUGGAAAAACCUUCCCCAACUAUGACCAAUGGGAGAAUCUUCCUGGAAAAACCUUCCCCAACUAUGACCAAUGGGAGAAUCUGCUAACUACGUGCAUGAGUAGAGCUGGGCUGCUGCUUCUUGUAUCGUCCGUUGUCCAUUUUCCCAUUUGGUCAAUCUGUUUUUUUUGUCCUUGCAUAGUCUUUGUUUCGUCUGUGGUUUAUAACUAAAUUUAGGCCUUGAACUCCGUUGUCUCGGAGAGAAAAGGUAGACAUGUGGUAGUGGUAAAGAUUGCGCAAACUUUGUUCUAACAGUGGAAUUUGUUGUUCA